GAUUGAACGCUGGCGGCAGGCUUAACACAUGCAAGUCGAACGGUAACAGAACUAGCUUGCUAGUUGCUGACGAGUGGCGGACGGGUGAGUAACGCGUAGGAAUCUGCCUGAUAGUGGGGGAUAGCCCGAAGAAAUUCGGAUUAAUACCGCAUAAUCUAUUCGUAGUAAAGUGGGGGACUUUUAAGCCUCACGCUAUCAGAUGAGCCUGCGUAAGAUUAGCUAGUUGGUAGGGUAAAAGCCUACCAAGGCAACGAUCUUUAGCUGGUCUGAGAGGAUGAUCAGCCACAUCGGGACUGAGACACGGCCCGAACUCCUACGGGAGGCAGCAGUGGGGAAUAUUGGACAAUGGGGGCAACCCUGAUCCAGCAAUACCGCGUGUGUGAAGAAGGCCUGAGGGUUGUAAAGCACUUUCAAUUGUGAAGAAAAGCUAACGGUUAAUAACCGUUAGCCUUGACGUUAACUUUAGAAGAAGCACCGGCUAACUCCGUGCCAGCAGCCGCGGUAAUACGGAGGGUGCAAGCGUUAAUCGGAAUUACUGGGCGUAAAGCGUGCGUAGGCGGUUUAUUAAGUCAGAUGUGAAAGCCCCGGGCUUAACCUGGGAACUGCAUUUGAAACUGGUCAACUAGAGUAUGGUAGAGGAAAGUGGAAUUUCUGGUGUAGCGGUGAAAUGCGUAGAUAUCAGAAGGAACAUCAAUGGCGAAGGCAGCUUUCUGGACCAAUACUGACGCUGAGGUACGAAAGCGUGGGUAGCAAACAGGAUUAGAUACCCUGGUAGUCCACGCCGUAAACGAUGAUAACUAGCCGUUGGGGGGAUUUACCCUUUAGUGGCGAAGCUAACGCGUUAAGUUAUCCGCCUGGGGAGUACGGCCGCAAGGUUAAAACUCAAAGGAAUUGACGGGGACCCGCACAAGCGGUGGAGCAUGUGGUUUAAUUCGAUGCAACGCGAAGAACCUUACCUGGUCUUGACAUCCUGCGAACUUUCUAGAAAUAGAUUGGUGCCUUCGGGAACGCAGUGACAGGUGCUGCAUGGCUGUCGUCAGCUCGUGUCGUGAGAUGUUGGGUUAAGUCCCGUAACGAGCGCAACCCCUAUCCUUAUUUGCCAGCACGUCAUGGUGGGAACUAUAAGGAGACUGCCGGUGAUAAACCGGAGGAAGGCGGGGACGACGUCAAGUCAUCAUGGCCCUUACGACCAGGGCUACACACGUGCUACAAUGGGAAGGACAAAGAGCCGCGAAGCCGCGAGGUGUAGCUAAUCUCAGAAACCUUUUCGUAGUCCGGAUUGGAGUCUGCAACUCGACUCCAUGAAGUCGGAAUCGCUAGUAAUCGUAGAUCAGAAUGCUACGGUGAAUACGUUCCCGGGUCUUGUACACACCGCC
rnacentral:rRNA from 1 species